UAAAGGUUUGGUCCUAGCCUUUUUGUCAACUUUUCCUUAUCUUACACAUGCAAGUAUCUGCACACCCGUGAGAACGCCCUCUUCUCCUCCCUCAGGACGAGGAGCCGGUAUCAGGCACACUUCUUGCCCAUGACACCUAGCUACGCCACACCCACAAGGGUACUCAGCAGUGAUAAACAUUGUUCAUAAGCGACAGCUUGAACCAGUUAAAGUAAAUAGAGCCGGCAAAUCCGGUGCCAGCCGCCGCGGCUACACCGUUGGGCUCAAGUUGAUAAACACCGGCGUUAAGCGUGAUUAAAGUGAUAAAACAUAUUAGAGUUAAAUUACCACCAAGUUGUGACACACUUGUUUCUAGGAGGCCCAAAAACGAAAGUUACUCUAAAACAUCCACUUGACACCACGACAGCUAGGAAACAAACUGGGAUUAGGUACCCCACUAUGCCUAGCCGUAAAAUAUUAACCCACACUUAAAACCGCCAGGGAAUUACGAGCCCAAGCUUAAAACCCAAAGGACUUGACGGUGUCCCACCCACCUAGAGGAGCCUGUUCUAUAAUCGAUUCUCCCCGAUACACCUCACCCCUUCUUGCCUCUCAGUCUGUAUACCUCCGUCGUAAGCUUACCAUGUGAACGAAACUAGUGAGCUUAAAGAUCUUCCACCUAUACGUCAGGUCAAGGUGCAGCUUACGAAGGGGGAAGAAAUGGGCUACAAUUUCUAAUUUAGAACAAACGAAAGACCACAUGAAAACCAGUCAUGAAGGCGGAUUUAGUAGUAAAAAGAAAAUAAAAUGUUCUUUUUAAUAAGGCCCUGGGACGCGUACACACCGCCCGUCACCCUCUUCAAAUGCCACUAACCAGUUAUUAACGCCCCUAGGCACAUCAGAAGAGGUAAGUCGUAACACGGUAAGCGUACUGGAAAGUGCACUUGGACUAACAAA
rnacentral:rRNA from 1 species